AGAUGCGUUCAUAUCUCCGGCACAGCACUGCAUCCCGUCCGAUCUGCAAAGUUAAGCCCGGAAGAGUCUGGUUAGUAUUGCGGUGGGUG
rnacentral:rRNA from 1 species